AUGAGCACUGGGUGUUGUAUGGAAACCAAUUUGACAAUAAACGUCAUAUAUUGAAUAAAUAAAUAAAUAAAUAAAUAAAUAAAUAAAUAAAUACAUGGCCUGGCACAACACAAACUCUCAGUAAACUCUAGGAAAUCUUCUUAACAAUCCCAUCCUCUUCCACAAAUUGCUCAGAAUCCUGGGGCUUCUUCCUUCCCGCUUUCUCUCAGACUAACUCCUUCUUUUCCAUUCUCGUGGCCUCCCUGCAAUCCUGGCACUGUGAUCUCGUCUCCUCCCCGCCCUCGUCACGGGCCUCCCUCUCCCCCACCUCAUCCAUCUCCAGCUCACCAGGCCGCUCUGCAGAAGGGCCGGUGUGUUUGGUACCCUUAGCUCCCAGGUACUUUUCCAUGCGUCCCGCUUUACUCAGAGGAGCUCAUUUAAUUCAGUUCCCACAACUGCCCUCUGAAGCAGGUAUUAUGGCCAUUUUACAAAUGAGGAAACCGAGCCUCUGAGAGGAGAAACCAUCUGCCCAAGGUCACUCUGCAAGUAUACGGUGGAGCCAGAAUUCAAGCCCCGCUGUGUGGCUCCAGGCUGCCUUCCGCACCAGACUCCUCAGCAAAGCAUCUGAGGCCUUCAGCAGAUGGCUGCCCUCACCUGUCCCAACGCAGCCAGAUGCUUGCCCAUGCGAGACAGGCCAGCCCCCUGAUGCACACCUCUCAUCUUCACUUGUGUCUUACCCUCAAGGAGUCAAAGAGCAAGAAUAGGAAAAAGAAAAGGAGAGGCUGUAGGAAUGAGAGGGAUUUGGGAAAGAGAAGAGCGGGAAGGGGAAAGCAUGCUGAAAGGGAACUAAUGUGGUAUCCAGAGGUUUGGGGGCUUUUCUGGUGGGCCUUCAGCUCUGCCUCCAGCUUAGCUUCUGUCUUCUCCAUCAGGGCAUGGGAUUCCAUGGAGAGGAAAGAGUGAGAGGAGCCUCGGGCACAGGAGGCCCAAGCUGGAGGCUGGCGCAAUGGCUGUAAAAAACUCCAGCUGCUCCAAAUGCAUUCAAGCCACUUGGCCCAGCCCACACCCAGGGGUCACCAGGCUGGUAGACGAGGGAAAUGGGGUUUGCCGGUGUAGCUGAUCUUGAAACCAUCUGACAAGCUCUUCAAGAAAUUGUUGCAUAUAAGCUAGAGAAAGGAAGCUAAAAGGUGAAGAAUUAGUAGCACACAGAGCUGGCCAUACAAUCUUACCCAAAGGUGCCUACUGAUGGUUUGAGUCCCCUUGGAUGGAAGCAGCCAGGUUCCAGGUGGUGCUGAUGCUGCUGGCCAGGGACCUGCUCUGUGAACAACUGCUCUGGAGUAAUCAGGAAAGGAAGCAGGUGUCCUCCAGACUCAGAGCCACGGAGAGAUAAAGGUUCGCUGCCGGGAUCAUCAUCUGUCUCCAGUACAGGAGUCCCCCAGCAACAUCCUGGGCAGCAAGACUGACAGCUGGUGCUGCUUCACCAGAACCCAUCUGGUUGGGAAGAUGCCCAUUCUGAAAAAAAACCCAGCUUCCUGUACUUUCUACUCUGGAGUCUUCUGCUUUUCCCGGGCUGAUGAGCUGUGUUCUCUCCUAUAGGAAGUCCUGCCCCUUCUGCAGUCAGCCAGCAUGACCCCUAGGGUUUUCUCCCUCUCUAAAUAAAUGGACAAGUUCCCUUCACUGGAACUUUUGUGGCUGGGUUUCCCAAGCCCCUCCUGUUGCUGGCUGCCCUCCAUGGAGCACACUGAAGUUGGUCAGGGUCCCCUCUAAGAUCCAUGUCCAGAAAUGAGGACAGAAUUACCGGGGAGAACCCAAUCUGGUUCCUGCACUUCUCUUAGUGCCAUUUAAGAUGGUAUUGUUUUGGGGCGCCUGGGUGGCGCAGUCGGUUAAGCGCCCGACUUCAGCCAGGUCACAAUCUCGCGGUCCGUGAGUUCGAG